rnacentral:lncRNA from 1 species
UCCAAGCAGCACAGGGGAGUGGCCCAGUGGCUGAGCCUGUGUAAGGCUGUGACUCUAUGCUCUGUUCCAGACAGGAAUUUCAGGCUUGGACUGGAGUGAAACCCUCAAGACCCCCAAAAGCAAAACCAGCCAGAGUUAUCACAACCCACACCUCCGGAUGGGACGGCGGCACUGGGGCCAGCUUCCAGGUCAGGUGCUACGGGGGCCCUGGCCACAGAAGCCUUCCUUCCAGCGUGGGGAUUAGGAGAGAUUUUAGUGGAUUUAAAUGUUAUGAUCAGGGAGAGCAGUGCCCAGGAAGUUGUUACUGACAGAAAACUAAGGUAACUGUCGUUAGCCAGAUGGGUACCCUUCCAGUGCUGGCUUCUCUGGUGAGCAGGGGUCUCUCUGCCUCCUAAAUCCCAACCUUAACCUCAACUACUAAGUACCAGUGACCUUCCUUCCAAAUAUGUAGCAUUGGCCUGGGGAGCUGCUCAGUGUGGAGCACCUGCCUAGCCUGAGUAAGAUGUUGGGUUCCAUCUCCAGCAACCCAAUAUGUGGGCCACCAUAUAAAAUGCAAGAGAAAAUGGAAGGGACGCGAGGAUUGUUUCCUGAUCCCACCCAAGAGGCUUCAGGGAGCAGAAAGGAAGGUUCACAGGGUGUGUCUAACCUGCUACUGCAGCGACACUGCUCACGGUUGGCAGCAGUCCCCUUUUGACCUUCAGGUAGUAGUUCCAACUCCUGGACAAUGCGAGGAAUUCUUUUCCUGGAGCCAGGGGUGGGAGGGAGUUGAGAAAAAGGCCCACUGAUGUGGCCACAUUUCAUUUUUCAGGUCCCUGAAGUGAGGAAGAAGUUCACUCCUAACCCCUCAGCCAUCUUUCAGGCGUCAGCUCCCCGAAUUCUCAACGUGUGACUGCGUCAGCAUGGAACGAUGGCUGCUGGAAUAUUGCUGAGAAAGGAGCCUGGCUCUGUCCUCUGCUUUCAGGAGGAGUGUGACUGCCCGGGCUGCGGGCCUGGCGUGGAGCACAGGUGCAAAUGGACCCGGCAUCACCAACUCCUCAGCCUCCCACAAAGUGUGUGGGAAGCUUCACAUCUGUUUUUAAUUGCCAUUUGGCCACUCUUCAGUUUUUAAAUUUGAAGAACCUGAGGACCAAUUCAAUUGUAAACCCAGCUGUCCAUGGGGCUGAGGAAUAUGGACGCAGCAGCUCCUUGGCAGAGCCAGUGAUGUCCACUUUGGGUGGUUUUCCCAGGAUGCAUGAGAAUUUUAUUAAUUUUAUAACCUAUAGUAAUCCCAGGUGAUAUCCUUGGGUCUUUCUGCGGUGGCCCAUGUUUCAGAACUCAGGUUCCCACCUGCAUGUGAUUCAUGAGAUGCUGAAUAGCCAAAAGAGGUUUCCAAAAGAAAAUUGUACCAAUCACAGGGUUUUGAUGUCAAAAACAUAAUUUCUUUAUAGCCAAGGUGGCCUUCAUGCUUCAACAAAACAUCUUGGGGUGAGUGAAAUAUUUAAAGACUAACAAUGACCAUGCGGUAGUUUUCUACAGGCAUAGCUCCCUAUUGUGUUUCAAUUUCCCCUAACAGGGAUGACUAAACCGAACAGCUGCACACACUGAGCAGGAAUUGGUGGCAUUUGCCUCACAUCAUUAAGAACCUUAGAACAUCAUCUCUACUGGGCCCCUGCCCUCAGGCCUACUCUGCACACUUAGUGACAGGAGGCUCAUUAUUGCUGCAGGGACAGCUGCUCCCAUCUUUGAAAGGCUCUCCUGUCUUCAUAAAUUCUAGCCAGUGUGGCUGCGUGGAACAAGCAGGGUCUCUUCUUUGCACAGCAGCCUUUCAAACACUUGAAGGGGUCUUGUAUCCCUUCUUGAAAAAUAGAGGCACAAGCUUGGGGCAGUUUUGGUAAGGAAAUUUGAGCAUUUCCUGUGGCUCUUCUUCCUCUUCAGCAGUGGCUCUGGUCUGCUGAAUGGUAAGGCCCCAGGCGGUGGCACUGGUUUCAGAUCACAGCAGGCUCAGAGGGGCCAUUUCCAGUUCAGGCUGCCUGCCAGUGUCCCCUCAGAGGUGCUAGCUCUGACAGGCAGGGCCCUCCCUCACUCCAGCUAAGGCAAUGCUCCGAUGACAGUCAUUUUAAAGGGAGAACAAACCAUAUGCUUACACAAAGGGUUCUACUGCUUUAGACUUCACUGGUUUGCAUGUUCUAUGUUUCUGGGCGGAGGAGACUGCCUGCUGGGCAUUCUGUGGGGGCCGAGCAGCUUAACUGUACAAUCUGACUUUACUAAAAUGCAAAAAUGCACGCUUUCAAUUUCUUAUUUUUUUAAAUUAUAAACAUGAGUCUCUCUUCACAUAUAUUGUCCCAUCUCUAAGUAAUGACUUUAAUGUGGCUCCUUCUAGUGUCCCUUGGAGGCUUAUAAAUGCUGAGCUCUUCUUACUGUGGGCUGCAGGUGAUACUGGUGUUGGUGGCACAGAGAACCCACUAGCCUCCCUGCUAUGCUUCAAUCCUUCCCACUGCCAUUCUGGAAUCCAGGGACAUGGACCCAUGAUGCUAGUCUCAGGCUCAAACCCUGUUUCAUCAUGACCAGCUGGGACUGGAGGGUGCUUCCAUUUCUUCAUGUGGACAGUUAGCUGCCACCACUUCCCCUGCUCUGGCUGGCCAAGAGCCCUCAUGUUUGUGCACAGGGUGUGGGGGGUGGGGUGAGCUCCAUAUGGUAACACCAAGCACAGCUGCUGGAAUAAUUCUUUCCAACCUAAGCCCCCCUUCCCUGGGCACCUCUAUUCCUGCCUGUAGCCAUUAACACCCUGUGCCCCAUGCUGCACCCUGCCUGAGGUCACACUGUGCAC